CCUACUGGGGGCUGCAGUGGGGAAUUUUGCGCAAUGCUCGUAAGAGUGACGCAGCGACGCCGCGUGAAUGACGAAGGCCUUCGGGUCGUAAAGUUCUUUCGACAGGGAAGAAAAUGCCUAUAAGUAACUGUGUAUGUAUUGACGGUACCUGUAUAAGCAGCCCCGGCUAACUCCGUGCCAGCAGCAGCGGUAAUACGGAGGGGGCGAGCGUUGUUCGGAGGGACUGGGCGUAAAGAGCACGUAGGCGGUGUUGGAAGUCAUUAGUCAAAGAUUAGAGCGCACAUUUAGUAAGGCUAGUGAUACUAUAAUACUAGAGUAUCAGAGAGGAUUGCAGAAUUCAGGGUGUAGCGGU
rnacentral:rRNA from 1 species